rfam:Cladophialophora carrionii strain KSF Contig1651, whole genome shotgun sequence.
GGAUUCGUAGCUCAGUGGUAGAGCGAGAGAUUGCAGUCUUCUCCAGAUAUCUCUAGGUCACGUGUUCGAACCACGUCGGAUCCU